AGUAAUGAACUCCUCUUUCCAGCUCAGCUCCACUGCUCACUUAUUUGGCCACGCUAAUCCAAGACCCAACGUCUUGCAAUUGCUUUUUCGCCCCCGUUCUUUUCUUCCUUCUUUUGCUACUGCAUAUCCUCCUCUGUCCUCCGGUCCUCUUUUGCUUGUUUUUUUCCUGCAGUUUCCAUUUUGGUGAAACUGUGGACCACCCGUGAAAACUGCGAAUCUUUCCAAGUUCGAUCACGAGGGAGCUGCUCCUUCCUUUGUUUUUAAAAACAUGCAAGUUUCGGGAGUGCAAAACUUGCACAUCACUUUCCAGCAAUGGAGGAGGUAGUGAAUUGAAUACGAUUUCUUACAAAACACGCAAGAGAAGAGAAGGAUGGAGACAAUCGGGAAAUUAAGUCUCGAUAAUUUCAUCAGAGUCACCUUCAAGCUCUCUCUCUCUCAAACAACAGAUCGAUGAGUCUCUUUCAAGGAAGCUCGCAAGAAAAAGUGGCAUAAUCCAACUGUUCUUGGGUCUCUCGAUAUUCUUCCAAGUUCAUCAUCACAACUGCAACUGAGUGAAGCACAUCCCUGCCUCACAACCCUAGAAUUCAAUACAGUCAAUUAAACAGUUACAAAUGUAAUAGUACCAUUAGUGGGUUGGAUGGGCUUAAUUUUAGUAGUAGGCUCUUGUAACAGUUUGAUUAGCUAUAUUGAAUUCUAAGAUUGAUUUAUGGAA